UGGGGGAUAUUGCACAAUGGAGGAAACUCUGAUGCAGCAACGCCGCGUGAGGGAAGAAGGUCUUCGGAUUGUAAACCUUAGUAGUCAGGGACGAAAGAAAUGACGGUACCUGAAGAGUAAGCUCCGGCUAACUACGUGCCAGCAGCCGCGGUAAUACGUAGGGAGCGAGCGUUGUCCGGAUUUACUGGGCGUAAAGGAUGCGUAGGCGGAUACUUAAGUCAGAUGUGAAAAUCCCGGGCUUAACUUGGGAACUGCAUUUGAAACUGGGUAUCUAGAGUGCGGGAGAGGAAAGUGGAAUUCCUAGUGUAGCGGUGAAAUGCGUAGAGAUUAGGAAGAACACCCGUGGCGAAGGCGACUUUCUGGACCGUAACUGACGCUGAGGCAUGAAAGCGUGGGGAGCAAACA
rnacentral:rRNA from 1 species